rnacentral:rRNA from 1 species
GUGGGGAAUAUUGGACAAUGGGCGAAAGCCUGAUCCAGCCAUGCCGCGUGUGUGAAGAAGGUCUUCGGAUUGUAAAGCACUUUAAGUUGGGAGGAAGGGCAGUAAGUUAAUACCUUGCUGUUUUGACGUUACCAACAGAAUAAGCACCGGCUAACUUCGUGCCAGCAGCCGCGGUAAUACGAAGGGUGCAAGCGUUAAUCGGAAUUACUGGGCGUAAAGCGCGCGUAGGUGGUUUUGUAAGUUGGAGGUGAAAUCCCCGGGCUCAACCUGGGAACUGCAUCCAAAACUGCAUGACUAGAGUACGGUAGAGGGUAGUGGAAUUGCCUGUGUAGCGGUGAAAUGCGUAGAUAUAGGAAGGAACACCAGUGGCGAAGGCGACUACCUGGACUGAUACUGACACUGAGGUGCGAAAGCGUGGGGAGCAAACAGGAUUAGAAACCCUAGUAGUCC